CCUACGGGUGGCAGCAGUGAGGAAUAUUGGUCAAUGGGCGCGAGCCUGAACCAGCCAAGCAGCGUGAAGGAUGACUGCUCUAUGGGUUGUAAACUUUUUUUAUAUGGGAAUAAAAUGUUCCACGUGUGGGAUUUUGUACGUACCAUAUGAAUAAGGAUCGGCUAACUCCGUGACAGCAGCCGCGGUAAUACGGAGGGUCCGAGCGUUAUCCGGAUUUAUUGGGUUUAAAGGGAGCGUAGGUGGAUUGUUAAGUCAGGUGUGAAAGUUUGCGGCUCAACCGUAAAAUUGCAGUUGAAACUGGCAGGCUGGAGUGCAGUAGAGGUAAGCGGAAUUCGUGGUGUAGCGGUGAAAUGCUUAGAUAUCACGAAGAACUCCGAUUGCGAAGGCAGUUCACUGGACUGCAACUGACGCUGAGGCUCGAAAGUGUGGGUAUCAAACAGGAUUAGAUACCCUUGUAGUC
rnacentral:rRNA from 1 species